AACAGUAGUAGCUCAAUUGGAAGAGUGCCUGCCUGUCACGCAGGAAGUUGCGGGUUCGAAUCUCGCUUACUGUUGC
rnacentral:tRNA from 1 species